AGGACGAACGCUGGCGGCGUGCUUAACACAUGCAAGUCGAACGGUAAGGCCCUUCGGGGUACACGAGUGGCGAACGGGUGAGUAACACGUGGGUGAUCUGCCCUGCACUUCGGGAUAAGCCUGGGAAACUGGGUCUAAUACCGGAUAGGACCAUGGACUUCACGGUUUGUGGUGGAAAGCUUUGCGGUGUGGGAUGGGCCCGCGGCCUAUCAGCUUGUUGGUGGGGUAAUGGCCUACCAAGGCGACGACGGGUAGCCGGCCUGAGAGGGUGUCCGGCCACACUGGGACUGAGAUACGGCCCAGACUCCUACGGGAGGCAGCAGUGGGGAAUAUUGCACAAUGGGCGCAAGCCUGAUGCAGCGACGCCGCGUGAGGGAUGACGGCCUUCGGGUUGUAAACCUCUUUCAAUAGGGACGAAGCGCAAGUGACGGUACCUAUAGAAGAAGCACCGGCCAACUACGUG
rnacentral:rRNA from 1 species